rnacentral:rRNA from 1 species
CACGUAGUUAGCCGUGGCUUUCUGGUUAGGUACCGUCAAGGUACCGGCAGUUACUCCGGUACUUGUUCUUCCCUAACAACAGAGUUUUACGAUCCGAAAACCUUCAUCACUCACGCGGCGUUGCUCCGUCAGACUUUCGUCCAUUGCGGAAGAUUCCCUACUGCUGCCUCCCGUAGGAGUCUGGGCCGUGUCUCAGUCCCAGUGUGGCCGAUCACCCUCUCAGGUCGGCUACGCAUCGUUGCCUUGGUGAGCCGUUACCUCACCAACUAGCUAAUGCGCCGCGGGCCCAUCUAUAAGUGAUAGCGAGAAGCCAUCUUUCAGCUUCCAGACAUGUGUCCAAAAGCAUUAUCCGGUAUUAGCUCCGGUUUCUCGAAGUUAUCCCAGUCUCAUAGGCAGGUUGCCCACGUGUUACUCACCCGUCCGCCGCUAAUCUUUGGGAGCAAGCUCCCUCAGAUCCGCUCGACUUGCAUGUAUUAGGCACGCCGCCAGCGUGU